UGCCGGCGACCGGCGGACGGGUGCGUAACGCGUAUGUAACCUACCUUUGACAGGGGGAUAACAUCGAGAAAUUGGUACUAAUACCCCAUAACAUCACCGGAGGGCAUCUUCGGUGGUUGAAAACUCAGGUGGUCAGAGAUGGACAUGCGUUGUAUUAGCUAGUUGGUGAGGUAACGGCUCACCAAGGCGACGAUACAUAGGGGGACUGAGAGGUCAACCCCCCACAUUGGUACUGAGACACGGACCAAACUCCUACGGGAGGCAGCAG
rnacentral:rRNA from 1 species